rnacentral:lncRNA from 1 species
CUGGAUAAAACUACCUCCCUUGAAUAAAUAGUUGGCAAGGACUUGGAUGACUGUUAAGAUGUUUUAGCACCAUCUUGCAGCAUUUUAUGCCUUAUUUUUUUCCAUGUUCAGUGCAUGGUAUGGAAUAUGGCUUUGGAGAACAUGAGUACUCAACAAGUUGUGUGUUUGAGGUGGAAACUAGAAGCUGUCUUGGCUUCAUCUUCAGAUCGGUGCAUAUAAGUUGUGAUUUGAAUCUUCAUGUGCAUAUGUUUUAAAUAAGACGUUGUGCUUGCACCAAAUAUUUGCUUCCAUACUAAUAUAGACAAAGUCUAUGUAAGAGUUUGAUGGGACUAUGAAAGCAUGCUUACAACUUCAUUAUAAAGUAUUGUAUGUUCACUUUUAAAUUAAUUUCAUUCGGUGCCAUCAUGUGGUUCAUUAUGGCUAUGAAGAUCCUCUCUAAUGGUAAUUCUUUUUUUAAUCACAAAAUUAUUAUUUCAUUGUAUAUAAAUGAGUUUAAUUAUCAAACCAUAUUAAUUCUCUUUUGUUUUGUCCAGUACUCUCCAUGACGUGAGGGUUUGAUCACCAACCAAGUUUAGAAAGGAUCUUGUUUUGCAAUUUUAAUUGAACGAGCGAUUCAACCUUUUCGAUUACGAAUAUUCCUAUAUGAGUUAUAUAACAUUGAUUUUUUUUAUAUUUAUUAAAAAGAAUUAAAAUCUGGACUGUUGAUUUUUUUCAUGCCACAUAUUAAGAUUUGCAUCAAUAGCUUAAUAUUAGACUCUCAUAAAAGAAUUUUUACUCAAUAUAAUUAUAUAUAAUUAUUUGUUUUUAUUUAUAAUUAUAUAUUUAUAAAUAAUUAUUAAUUAUAUAUGAUGAGUGAAAAAUUAAACCCAAUUAAACAUUAUAUAAAACCUUUCUCAAAUUGAUGUGGAGAUGAGUUAUAUAACAUUGCUUACCAGUAGAAAGAGAAAUCUUCAGGUAAAGUUUACUAUUAAAUCGUAUUGGGUGGUUCCUUUGCUAAUGAAGGUUUUUAGCCUCUCUCGUGAAUUGGCCUAGCAUCAAUCGAGUAUCACGCAAAGGUGGAUGCUCUAGUUUGCUUUUGUAGCGGCAACUUUCGUUAAGAU